AAAAGAAAGGGAAAUUAUCGAAAAAAAAGAGAAAUUAUAAAAAAAAAAAGGUUAGAGGGAAUGACUGAUGAUGAUAUGGUGAUAAGUUUGGGUUUUAUCAUGAUUAAAUUGAAUUUAGAUUUUACAAGAUAAAUUCUAUUUUUUCAUCAUAAUCCUAGCUUUUGUGGAGUUGGAAUGCAUUUGAAAUUCUUCUUACUAUGUCUUAUAAAUAGCCUUGUAAUUCACUACAAAAGGAUAGACAAAAAAAUAAAAGAAAACAGAGAAAGCAACCAUUAGCAGUUUUCAAUCACUAUCUUUACCUUACCAUAGCUCAACCAUAAUUCCAACCACAACCUAGAAACCUAGAAAACAAACCUAGUCCUCAAGAAACCAUUAAAACAACCUAAGCAAAUUAAAAUCGAUCAAACAAACCCAUAACCACUAGAUCGAAUCUUGUCAUUUAGCUAACUCAUCCUACCCAGCGAACAUUCCUAAUACCAUCAUUUCCCACAAAUGCCACUAACCUAAAGGUCUGCAUUCUCAACCCAAAAUGAUAGCAAGCAAAACAUAGAUAGUUUACACACAGACAGAUCACAAAAUACAAGUAUAAGCAUAGACUCAUAAUACAAAGUCAACAACCAAAGUAGACACCAUAGUUAUCCAUUGCUAAGACCAAGUCUUGCCACCACCAUCAAUUUCUCGCUGGACAAUCAUCCAUCAUCAGUAAACCAUGCCAACAUAGAUUCAAGAAGAACAAAUUUAAGUCACAAACGAAAAGAGAUCAAAAAUGAAAAGAGAGGAAAAUCAAACAAAGAGAAAGUGAAGAUGAGUAAAAGGGAAAGAAAAAACCUACCUCUAGUAAUAGGGAUGAUCAACAACAAUCAAUUUAUUAAUUGGGAGAUCCAAAUGGUGAAAAUAGGGAGGAUGAAAGAGCCGCAUACUGAAAACUCAAGAAGAUUGGAUGGUAAAGAGAGCUGAAACGAUGGUGGAAAGGCCAUGACUUCAGCUUUAGAUCUAGGCCAUUAGAGGACAAUCUGUGAAAAAUUGACCCCAAAUCAAAAACAAAAAGGAAAAAAAAAUGAGCUUUUUGGUGAAAUUUAGAUCUCAACGGUGGUCAAUUGGCAACGAAGCAUAGCAGCUAGCAAUGGCACAGAAACUGAAGGCAAUGGCUUGAAAUUCACAAAAAGAGAAAAACACUGGUAGAUAAAGAAAGAAGAGAGAGAGAAGAAAGAAAAGAACAUGAGAAAAAAAAAAUCUAAUUUUGCCAUUAUAUAGCCUCAUUGAAAUAAUAUAUUUUUAAUAAAUACAAGCUAAGCCAUUGAGCCAAGUUUCUAAGCCAAGCUGAGUCAAUUUUAUGAGAUAAAAGCCAAGCCAAUCUUAGCCAUUGAACUAAACCGCAUUUUGAGCCAUUGACCAAAAUCCAACUUUGGUAUUUUUACAUUUAUUCUUUAUUCUAUUUAUUUAUUUGUUUAGACUAAAGAUUUUUUUAAUAAAAAUUAAAAUUCAUGAAAAUCUAAGUAUUUGAUCAUUUUGUAAUUAAAAAUGAGAUAUGAAAAAAUAUUAAUUUUGGAAAUAAAACCUUACCAACUUAUUAGAAGAUUUAAAUUUCUAAAAAUGAAUUUAAGAAUCAUAAAUGAACCUUACUAACAUAUUAAAGGACUCAUGAUUUUUUUACAAAUCUAAAAAUAAGGC
rnacentral:lncRNA from 1 species